rnacentral:rRNA from 1 species
UACGGAGGGUGCAAGCGUUGUCCGGAAUUAUUGGGCGUAAAGCGCACGUAGGCGGUUCUUUAAGUCUCAUGGUGAAAGGCUGGGGCUCAACCCCAAGCAAGCCGGGGAUACUGGAGGACUGGAGACAGGCAGAGGCCAGCGGAAUUCCGGGUGUAGCGGUGGAAUGCGUAGAGAUCCGGAAGAACACCAGAGGCGAAGGCGGCUGGCUGGGCCUGAUCUGACGCUGAGGUGCGAAAGCGUGGGGAGCGAACAGG